CAAAUUUGUACUGUGAAACUGCGAAUGGCUCAUUAAAUCAGUUAUAGUUUAUUUGAUGAUACCUUGCUACAUGGAUAACUGUGGUAAUUCUAGAGCUAAUACAUGCGUCAAAGCCGCGACUUCUGGAAGCGGUGUAUUUAUUAGAUAAAAAACCAACGCGGUUCGCCGCUCCCUUGGUGAUUCAUAAUAACUUCUCGAAUCGCAUGGCCUUGCGCCGGCGAUGCUUCAUUCAAAUAUCUGCCCUAUCAAGUUUAGAUGGUAGGAUAGAGGCCUACCAUGCUUUCAACGGGUAACGGGGAAUAAGGGUUCGAUUCCGGAGAGGGAGCCUGAGAAACGGCUACCACAUCCAAGGAAGGCAGCAGGCGCGCAAAUUACCCAAUCCCGACACGGGGAGGUAGUGACAAUAAAUAACAAUAUGGGGCUCAUACGGGUCCCAUAAUUGGAAUGAGUACAAUUUAAAUCCCUUAACGAGGAACAAUUGGAGGGCAAGUCUGGUGCCAGCAGCCGCGGUAAUUCCAGCUCCAAUAGCGUAUAUUAAAGUUGUUGCCGUUAAAAAGCUCGUAGUUGAACUUUCAUGGGCUCACGCGGUCUGCCUCACGGCAAGUACUGUGUGGGCUUGUGCUCCUGGGUGGUGAGCCGCCAUGUCGUUUACUCGGUGUGGCGGGGAACCACCUCUGUUACCUUGAGAAAAUUAGAGUGUUCAAAGCAGGCCUAUGCCCGAAUAUAUUAGCAUGGAAUAACGAAAUAGGACGUGCGGUUCUAUUUUGUUGGUUUCUAGAGUCGCCGUAAUGAUUAAUAGGGAUAGUUGGGGGCAUUAGUAUUCAGUUGCUAGAGGUGAAAUUCUUGGAUUUACUGAAGACUAACUACUGCGAAAGCAUUUGCCAAGGAUGUUUUCAUUAAUCAAGAACGAAGGUUAGGGGAUCGAAAACGAUCAGAUACCGUUGUAGUCUUAACAGUAAACUAUGCCGACUAGGGAUCGGACGAACUCAUUUUUAUGUGUCGUUCGGCACCUUACGAGAAAUCAAAGUUUUUCGGUUCGGGGGGGAGUAUGGUCGCACAGGCUGAAACUUAAAGGAAUG
rnacentral:rRNA from 1 species